AGAGUUUGAUCAUGGCUCAGAUUGAACGCUGGCGGUAGGCUUAACACAUGCAAGUCGUGCGAGAAAGUAUCUUCGGAUAUGAGUAGAGCGGCGGACGGGUGAGUAACGCGUAGGAAUCUACCUAGUAGAAGGGGAUAGCCCGGGGAAACUCGGAUUAAUACCGUAUACCUCCUUCGGGAGAAAGAAGGCCUCUCUUUGAAGCUUUCGCUAUUAGAUGAGCCUGCGUAAGAUUAGCUUGUUGGUGAGGUAAAGGCUCACCAAGGCGACGAUCUUUAGCGGGUCUGAGAGGACGAUCCGCCACAUUGGGACUGAGACACGGCCCAGACUCCUACGGGAGGCAGCAGUGGGGAAUAUUGGACAAUGGGCGCAAGCCUGAUCCAGCCAUACCGCGUGUGUGAAGAAGGCCCUAGGGUUGUAAAGCACUUUAAGUUGGGAAGAAAAGUUAUUGGUUAAUACCCAAUAACCGUGACAUUACCAUCAGAAUAAGGACCGGCUAAUUCCGUGCCAGCAGCCGCGGUAAUACGGAAGGUCCAAGCGUUAAUCGGAAUUACUGGGCGUAAAGCGCGCGUAGGUGGUUUAUUAAGUUGGAUGUGAAAUCCCCGGGCUCAACCUGGGAACUGCAUCCAAAACUGAUUCACUAGAGUACGAUAGAGGGAGGUAGAAUUCACAGUGUAGCGGUGGAAUGCGUAGAUAUUGUGAAGAAUACCAAUGGCGAAGGCAGCCUCCUGGAUCUGUACUGACACUGAGGUGCGAAAGCGUGGGUAGCGAACAGGAUUAGAUACCCUGGUAGUCCACGCCGUAAACGAUGUCAACUAGCUGUUGGAAAACUAUGUUUUUCAGUGGCGCAGCUAACGUAGUAAGUUGACCGCCUGGGGAGUACGGCCGCAAGGCUAAAACUCAAAUGAAUUGACGGGGACCCGCACAAGCGGUGGAGCAUGUGGUUUAAUUCGAUGCAACGCGAAAAACCUUACCUAUACUUGACAUACUUGGAAUGCUUUGUAAUGAAGCAGUGCCUUCGGGAGCCAAGAUACAGGUGCUGCAUGGCUGUCGUCAGCUCGUGUCGUGAGAUGUUCCGUUAAGUCGGAUAACGAGCGCAACCCUUACCCUUAUUUGCCAGCGAUUCGGUCGGGAACUAUAAGGGGACUGCCGGUGAUAAACCGGAGGAAGGUGAGGACGACGUCAAGUCAUCAUGGCCCUUACGUAUAGGGCUACACACGUGCUACAAUGGAGAAUACAGACGGACGCUAAGCCGCGAGGUGGUGCUAAUCCUAGAAAAUUCUUCGUAGUCCGGAUUGGAGUCUGCAACUCGACUCCAUGAAGUCGGAAUCGCUAGUAAUCGCGAAUCAGCAUGUCGCGGUGAAUACGUUCUCGGGUCUUGUACACACCGCCCGUCAUACCAUGGAAGUGGAUUGCACCAGAAGUAGAUAGUCUAACCUUCGGGAGGGCGUUUACCACGGUGUGCUUCAUGACUGGGGUAAAGUCGUAACAAGGUAACCGUA
rnacentral:rRNA from 1 species